UACAGAGGGUGCGAGCGUUAAUCGGAAUUACUGGGCGUAAAGCGUGCGCAGACGGUUGCGUAAGUCAGAUGUGAAAGCCCCGGGCUCAACCUGGGAAUUGCAUUUGAGACUGCGUAGCUAGGGUGCGGAAGAGGGAAGCGGAAUUUCCGGUGUAGCGGUGAAAUGCGUAGAUAUCGGAAGGAACACCAGUGGCGAAAGCGGCUUCCUGGUCCAGCACCGACGUUCAGGCACGAAAGCGUGGGGAGCAAACAGG
rnacentral:rRNA from 1 species